rnacentral:rRNA from 1 species
GAUGAACGCUAGCUACAGGCUUAACACAUGCAAGUCGAGGGGUAACGAGAGGAAAGCUUGCUUUCCUUGUCGACGACCGGCGCACGGGUGAGUAACGCGUAUCCAACCUGCCCCCAACUAGGGAAUAACCUUGCGAAAGUAAGACUAAUACCCUAUAAUUUCCUCAGAUGCCAUCUGACGAGGAAUAAAGAUUUAUCGGUUGUGGAUGGGGAUGCGUCUGAUUAGCUUGUUGGCGGGGUAACGGCCCACCAAGGCAACGAGCAGUAGGGGUUCUGAGCGGAAGGUCCCCCACAUUGGAACUGAGACACGGUCCAAACUCCUACGGGAGGCAGCAGUGAGGAAUAUUGGUCAAUGGGCGGAAGCCUGAACCAGCCAAGUAGCGUGCAGGAUGACGGCCCUAUGGGUUGUAAACUGCUUUUAUACAGGAAUAAAGUUAGCGCGUGUGGUUAUUUGUAGGUACUGUAUGAAUAAGGACCGGCUAAUUCCGUGCCAGCAGCCGCCGCCG